rnacentral:rRNA from 1 species
UAGGGAAUAUUGGACAAUGGGGGCAACCCUGAUCCAGCCAUGCCGCGUGAGUGAAGAAGGCCCUCGGGUUGUAAAGCUCUUUUGUCAGGAAAGAAAAGCAUUCGGUGAAUACCCGGAUGUUCUGACGGUACCGGAAGAAUAAGCACCGGCUAACUUCGUGCCAGCAGCCGCGGUAAUACGAAGGGUGCAAGCGUUACUCGGAAUUACUGGGCGUAAAGCGUGCGUAGGUGGUUGUUUAAGUCUGAUGUGAAAGCCCUGGGCUCAACCUGGGAAUGGCAGUCGAAGCUGGGCAGCUAGAGUGCGGUAGAGGGUAGUGGAAUUCCCGGUGUAGCAGUGAAAUGCGUAGAGAUCGGGAGGAACAUCUGUGGCGAAGGCGACUGACUGGACCAGCACUGACACUGAGGCACGAAAGCGUGGGGAGCAAACA